UUUUGAGGUGUUCCUGGCUAAAACGUAGAGGCCCUAGCUGGGUGCUUGGCUUCACUUCAGCUGUGUUUGCGUGAGAGGUUUUCGGGGUCCGUAGUUAGGCCGGACUCGGUAGUUUGACCCGGAAGCACUACUUCGGUCCUCCGAGGGCACGGUGGUGGUGGUUGUCCCUUGGGUCCCUCUCAUGGGACACACCCCAGGGUGCAAGCCCUCCGCUAAUGCAGCGACACAGGGAGGGAGUGAAGCCUUCUGCCCAACUUCACCGAGAAUCCUGUUUUGGGUGCAAAUUCAUCUGCAUUUCGGGGUCGGGAAACCCCCAGAGUUAGAGUUCUGCUAUUCCACAGGAUCCUUUGCCCAUUGGAUGAAAAGUAGCUAAGAAGAAGUCGAAAUAAACAGAGUAUCACUCUGUCACCCAGGCUGGAAUUCAGUGACCCAAUCACAGCUCACCGUCACCUCGAAUUCCUGGAUUAAAGUGAUCGUCCUGCCUCAGCCUCCUGAGUAGCUGGGACUACAGGUGUGUGCCACCCCCAUCCUUCUGUUUCUUUCAAGAUGAGCCAGGAAGUCCUUUGCGUUUCAACCCUUGCUAUUGACCUUUUUCUCUUUUUAAGUGCAUUUGUUGCUUUAGCUACAUCAGCCCAAUGUGAGAUCACUCUGUUUAACGGUGUAAAAUAGAGAACUGGAUGGCAGACAACAUGGAUUAUAUGCAAGUGGGUUGUAGGACCUACUGAGGAAAUUUUGUUUUAAACGAAUACUUAAUUCAUGUCGGUGGGCCUUAGUGUUGAGUAUAGGAAAUUCCAGUUACAUGAGUAGUCACGCUAACCAAAGGUCCUUCUACAUGUUAACACCAAAAUGAUGUAGAAUAAACAGGCAUCUGGUAUGGCCAAUUUUGCAGCAAAGGAGAAGUUCAUCUGUGUUAGCUGAAAAUUCUUGUAAUCCAAACUGGCGGCAGAGAGUCCAAGAAGAGGGUUGUGUUCUCACAGCUCUGGGGAAGAUCUACAUUCAACUCUGUCUUGGAAAGACAUUCCUAAAAAUUAUUUGCCUCACUAACCUCAGAUUAAGUAUAGUGUUGAUGUUUGAUCUGUAAGGGAGAGAUUAUCAAAUGACAUCUUAAUUUGGAGCAGAGAUUUCGAAUUUGUAAUCUACUUUGAAAGAAAAAAAUAAAAGAAUAAAAAGUAAACUAAAGGGGAACAUAGUGUUAGUGCCCAAAGUCCUCUCUUGAGUAUUUUCCUAAUUAUUUUUAUUUAUCCUAGUUUUCAAAGUCAAGAGAAAUGACAUAGCAUAGAGAUUAGGGGUCUGGACUGCCUGGGCCUAUUUCCUGGCUCUGCCACUAUUACUGACUAGCCGCGUAACCCCAAUUCCUUACCUCUAACCUGCAGAAUAUCACAUUCCGCACCUCACACAGUUAUCAGGUGAAUUUUAUGAAUGAAUACACUGGAAAAUAUUUAACACAGUGCUGGUGUGGAAAGCAUUAUGUUAGUGUUAGCCAUUAUUAUUCCUUAAAAGGUGGUGAGAUGUGGCUUUUACUUCGAUGCAAGGAUGGGGUUCUGAGGCUCACAGCCUCUCUUCAUUCGCUUGUUUCGGUUUCAAAGCACCUAGGGUUGUGCAUGGCCCUGAAGAAGACGUUCUGAGCAUGGGAGAAUACUUGUUUUUAGGGAAGUUAUGAUCCAGUUGGAUGGAGAAGUUCCCUCUGAGCACAACCACAGAAUGUACUGAGUCCACUUACUUAUUUUACAAGUAUUCUUGAGUGCUGACUGUGUGCCAGGUGCUGUGGAGGUACAGUAGUGGAAAGGACAGACCAAGUAUCUGCUCUCACGGACCUGGAAUCUACAGAGGGAGGCAGACAUAAACAAGCUACAAUGCACAGUGUAGUGUCAGUACUGGGAGGAAACUAGCGCAGAGGGAGGGGAUAGAAGGUAGGGGAGGUGGGAGUCUCUGUUUUAGAGAAAUGGGGUGUUCAGGAAAGGCUGCCCUGAGGAAGACCAGAAGAGAUUAUUCCAGGUUCAGGGGACCACAAAGUGAAUUGACCUUGGGCUGAGCAACACCAAGCACAGGAAGGCCAAGCGAGGACCCAGAGAGUCUUAGAGUCUUGGGGUGGCAGAGCAAGGCGGGAGGUAUUUCAUUACUCUGUUGGUGGGAGGAGCGGACAGCUCAUGCCUUCCUUGCUUUUGAGAAGGGCCUUGUGGGGCCUGUGUGAAGUUCCUCCAGCUAGUGCAUGGGCACCCAGUGCUUGCCAUUUUCUCCAGCUGGGGCCACGUCGAGCUACGCCCCCUCUCCUCUCUUUCUCAGGAUUGGGAAGCUGGAGCAGGUGCAGGGACGCCAGCCGAGAGCCCAAGAGCAAAUGGGAUUUUAAAGUUGUUAGGGCAUUUUGGCAUUCAGUUCCCCGAGAUGAACAAAGUGUCUUGUCUGGUAAUUGCAAUUAAUGGCUCUGCUAUUCAAGCAUAUCCGUCAAUAAAUCUCCUCUAAUAACCGAUUGGGCAUAGUUGUUGCCAUAGUUAUGUCUCUAAAUUGAGCCCAGGGUAGUUGGCCAUGACACUGACCUUACUGGGGUCAGGGCUACUUCCUGACUGUAUGACUCCACAUCCUAGGAAUUAAAGCUUCCCCCCAAAUGACUGGCUUGGAGCCAGCUGAAAGACAAGCUCAGCCCCUCAGCUUAACUGGCUGGAGAUUUCCUGUAAAUCUCCUACAUGCAGGAUAAAAAUCUUCGAAACUCUGUGAUGUUGACAGUCAUAGAAAUUCUGUCUCAUCCACUUUUGUAUGAUGCUGGGGUACAGUCAACAGGGAGACCCCCACAUCAGAUCCGAGAUCACCAGUGUUACCACGGCGGGCCUCAUCUUAGAUUGCUUGGUUGAUGCCUUAGUGUGGAGUCAUUUUCUUAAUUUCUUUCCUUCUAGACAAUACCUUUUCCCAUCCCCAAAUACUGUUUUCAGGAGCUUGUCUGUCUCUUAAUCCCACCUUUUGGCUCUCCCAUGGGCCAUUAUCCUGCAGCCGCCAUGCUCACCUGUUCAUUGCAGGGGUCAGCUUCCUGAAGCUCCAGCCACGGUGAGAGACUGUAUCCACCCCCUUUAUUCCUCAUUUCAUCACACCCUGUAUCCUUAGGAGAUAGUGGAUUUCUAGAACACCAUAUCAAAACCCAGUUUGGAACACCUAAUGAGGUGGGGGUAUUUUUAAAUGCGUCUAUUUAUACGUUCGAGAUGAUUGCAGGUAAUUGCACAGAAGGUGGAAGAAGGGAUCUGGAGGCAAAAGGGAAAUAGUCUCUGAAUUCAUAUCUAUGUAAAAUCCCUAAAAAAGGAGGGGUGGGGGAGGUAAGGGAAGCUCAUUUUCUGUCUCUGACUUAGCCGAAGGCUUGAUUUAAGAUUUCCAAACUAUUCUUUUUAUUCUUCUUAAAUUUUGCUUUCUUCUUCUUUCGCUGUUUAUCUCAGAGUUGAUGUUGUAGAGUUUUAGAGCUGGAAGAAUCUUAGAGGUGGACAUAGCAAUGUGAGGUGGUGAGCAGUCUGAGCCGAGGCCAGGACUGAGUACUCCUGCACCACCGGGGGAUGUAACAUGGUGCGGCAGGGUUUAGCAGGUUCACCUUUUCAAGAGUCUUUGCAAGAAAAAUUGAGAAAGAUUUUCAUAUGCCAGAAAUCUACCAAGGCAUCCCUUUAAGAUGAAAUACACUGUUUAUUGGUUUGCUUCUGAACUUUUCCAGUAACUCCCAAAUAUAAUAAAAAUGAUGGGUCUGUUUUCAAAGUGGAUAAAGUUUAGAAAACUCACUGGGUCAGUACAGGAAUCCUCCUCAUCUUGUGAACUGUAGCAUUUCAAAUCAAUCCUGAAAGAAAGCCAACGAGUCCGCGUGUGGGUUUGGGUAGCAGAAACAUGCAUGCUGUGUCUCAGUGGCUUAUAAAAGCAUUUUGAUAGACAUUUGUCAGAAUUUGAAUUAUUAAACAAUUGUUAAAUAGAAUUUUGGCUUCACUGUUAAUAAUGUGUCAUUGAAAGGAGUUAGAAAAAUAGCAAGGGAUUUGUUUUAAUAAAAGAGGAAAAAGGGAAAGGUAAAUAAAUUCAAUAAUCUCUUGAACAGUUGGAGGUACCCACUUCCUUUUUUCAGUUCUCUUUUCUCCUCUAUACUUGGUUUUCCUGACCAUUUCUACUGAGAUACUCAACACAGUCAUUCAGGUAGUGCUAGGUGUUCCUGGGUCCACAUCUGAGCGACUGGGUGGACUGCCCGUCCCAUUGCCCUCCCCCAAGCUCAGGGAGUGUCUCCGGGUUUCUAGACUCCAUCCCAAUUGCAUUUCUUCCGCAUGCUGGCAGAUACAGUGUUCAUCAUUGUGGUAUCUGCGCUUAGAGAAGCAGCAGAACACAGACAACUCUCUGCUGAAUACUUCGAGUUCCAGUAGAGGGCAGAUGACAGAUGGGACUGUUAACCGCAAUGCGGCUUCUUCACACUAUUUGUACAUCCAGGGUGCACGCAGCGCGUACCUGGCAAGCCUGGCCACGUACUGGCACCAGAACAGAAGGGCUGGCUCUGGUCCUCCUCCUGGAGGGGGCUGCAGAGAAUCCUUAGAGGCAGGCAGAACACAAGGAACCAGAGACAUCAGAAUGAAAAUUGACGGCUAGAGGGAGAAUGAAAGAAAGUGGGGAGGAGAGUGAAAGAAAUGAGGAGAUCAGAAAAGAAACGCGGGCUCAGGCCAGAAGGGUGGAAAAACCCGGGGGUAGGGCGCAGGAAGGGCAGUAAAGGGGGGCCAGCCCCUGGCCCCCAAAGGCAGCUCUGCCUGUCCUUCUGCAUCCCUCUCUUCAUCUUUCCUCCCUUCAGGCCUCCUUUGUCUCUUCUUCAUGAUUUUUGACUUUCCUCUUGCAUUACAAUCCAAAGCAGUUUUUAAAAUGUUUUAUUUUUGUUUUUAUAUUUCAAAUAGUUAACAUAUAUAUAGAGUAUAAAAUUCAAGACGAAAAAGAAUGUAUAAUGUAAAUUAAGCUCCCCCACCCCUGUUAUCAGUCCCCCACUUCUCCUACAAAGGGACCGCUGUUAAUGGUUUAUAUUGUAAUUUUUUUCCCAAAGAGAUUCUAUGCAAAUACAUACACACUAAGCCUACUAUACACACCGUUUUGCACAUUGCUUUUUUUUUUCCACUUAACCAUAUGAUCUUGGAAAUUGUGCCAUACUGGUACGUAUAGAGCUGCCUUGUUGAUUUCAAAGACUGCACAGUAUUCCCUUUUAUGGAUUCACCAUAAUUUACAAGUCUUCUGUUGAUGGACAUCUAGUUUGUUUCCAAUCUCUCGCUGUGAUAAAUUUCCUUGUACAUACAUCUUUGUGCACAUGGAUGUAUAUAUCUGACAGAUAAAUUUUUAGAAAUGGGAUUGCUGGUCAGAAGGUAUAUGCAUUUUAAAAUUUGGAAAAUAUCAUCACAUUUCCCUCUUUUCUAAUUUACAGUACUACCUUGCCAAACCAGUGUUAUCAAAAGUUGAUCUUUGACAAUCUGUUAGGCAAAACAUGUAUCUCCUUAAGUCCUUGGCAUUUCCUUUUCUGUGAACUGUUUGUUCAUGUUAAGGAUAGUUUUGAUAAAUCCAGACGGAAGAGUGUCAGGUUCAGGGAGGUCACCAACUGGGAAAGAUUGAAGAGGGAGAGGAAAAGAGCCAAGUAAGCUUCAUGGGAGAAAAAUAAACUCGAGGACUAUUUCUUUUUCUAAAGAAACCACUGUAUCUGGAUUAUGCGGUGUCAAUAUGCCAGUUGCACAGAUGGUUCUUCAGUUUGAUGCAUUGACAUUUCUUCCCCUGGACUGUUAUAUAAAAGCCUUUCCUCCCACAGAUCCGGUACUCACAAUGCCAUACUAACAUUACUGGAGUGUGUUUUCAUUGAAAAUUGCAUAUAAAACCCAUUGUUUCAUUGCAAAUAAAAGUUUAGAUUUACUGUGACGUGACCACAAAGUGGUAUUUUCAACGAUAAAGCCCUCAGUUACUUACUUGCUUUAGUGCAUUAGACCGAAGUGAGUCAUCUUCUUUUCAGAGAGUGACCUUGAGGUGGCAGCAACAUUACAUUCAAUUCUGUGCUGCACCAAGUCCAUUACAAAGUGAAAGUAAAAAUUGUAAUAAAUCAGAAUAAUACUGAUUGUUAUAAUUUUAUUAUCAGAGCAUUAAGUCAAUAAAACUUAUCUGAAAUGUCAUUUGAAUUGUAUACAAUUUUUACUAGUUAUCCAGUAUGUCUUAAAAGCAUGUUUAAAACAACAAAAUGAAGAAAUCAGUGAUAAAUUGUGCAAAAGCUGGGACUUGUCUCAUGCCGUAGUAAAACUAAAUUCUCUCUUGGUUUUUGCAUCGUAAAAUAUUCUUUUUGCAGACUUUUAACUAUCCUGUAAUGCCCUGUGUCUGACCAGCUGUAUUUAGCACCCUAUUGUCUGAUUGCUUAUUUCCUUGCAGGUUGUCUGGCCUUUUCGUUUAUGAUUUUAUAUAGGAAGGUCAUCUAAUAUAUGACAUCCUUUCAGGAAAGGAGAAUGUAGUUUUUUUUUUUUUUUUUUAAUAAUGAGGAAUAAUGAAACUUAUUUAUGAAGGGAGUCAGAAAAAUUUAUUGAAGAAUCACUGUAAGAGAAACAUGCAAAUUAAAAAAACCCUGCUUAAUAGCAUAUUCAUUACCAGGGAGCUUCCAAGUAAUGAAAUAGGUGUGUAAAAGGCAGGAUAUUAGGUGAUGUAAUAUUGCUUAUAUCACGUACAAUACAUGAUUACUAUGCAUUUUUAUCUUGUCAAUUGUUAUUAGAUUGUCAUAGUAUUACUGUGUAAGUACUUAACAUGCAAGACACUAAAAAUGUUUAGGUCCAUAUUUUUGCAAAUUUUUUUUUUUUUUUUGUAUUUCAUGUGCUAGAUUGCUGACAUGUAAAUUAUGGGAAGUUAGAAAAAUAGAUUCUGAAUGUGUCCCUAGUUUGAUAAUAUUAGUGAUGUUCUGUUAUCACUUUGGUCUUGGUCUUUGAUGAAAUAUUUUUAAAGAAAAGGCAAAAUUGAGGCACUCUGCUGUGCUGGGCAGACACUGGACUAGAUGUCAAGUGGUUUAGGUCCCCUUCCCAGCUGUGCCACCCUUCAGUUCCGUGGCCUUAGUUAGAGGCCUGGUCGUCGGAGCCGAGACUGGCAUAAGUGCGCAUAUGCAAGCCCUCAAUCAGCAGACGUGCGUAAGUGCUAACCAUGGGUCGGGAACUGUGUCGGGGGCUGAGGAGGCAUAACUCAGGCCUGUGAGGGAUCCACAGAACAGUGGAGCAGGAAGGUGUAUGAACAAAGGCUCAGAGAAGGUAUCACGCAUGGUGGUGGGGGCGGGGUCCCAGCAUGUGAUCAGAACUCUCAUAACUGAGACUGAGCACUCACUCCGUCCCAGGCAGUUGAUGCGUGCUGUACACAUGUUGUUUCUCACAAUCUUCUCUCUCAACAUGCGGCAGAGGAAUUAUGAUCGUCUCCAUGGUACAGAUGAAGAAACUGAAGUACAGACUUGACUCUUCCUUAGGAAUGUGGAGUUAUAGAUGCUGAGCUGGGUUUUUACGGUUAUUCUUCAUCUGCACGCCAUGCCACGUCCACACAUUCCUCCCCUUCCCUUUGAUUCUUACUCAGACAUGCCCUUUGUCUAAGGAAUGUAGGAGAUGGUGCUCCCUCCUAGGGAAGAGCAAACAUCUUAGACACAAGAAAAUUAAAUGGCAGUGGAGAAUGGGGGACAGAGGUGACUUUGAUCUUAUUCAGGGACUGGGUCAUCAGUUUAGGUCCAUUCUCGUGACUAACGACAUUGGUCCUAUGCUUAUCUGCUGACUCAGAGUGGGAGAUCUUAUGGACAUUUCCUCUUGGAAUUACUCGUGUCAUUGGGAAGUGGAGCUAUCAGUGGUCAGGAGCAGGGCUUUAGAGUCAGACUGCCUGGCUCAAAUACUGGGAAUGAGACACUUAAUCUCAGCUCUAGUUCAUCAUCCAUAAAGUGAGGGAUUCCAGUCCCUCACAGAUGUGCCUGAAGAUUGAGGUAGACAGGCCUGGUGAUGGCUUGAGCCCAGAGUCUGGCAUGUUAAAAGUGCUGGAUAAGUGUUUUCCGAAACUAUCAUUAUCGCUGAUGGCCUUUUCUUCCUGGGCGAAUUGGCAUAAAUAGAUAUGUCAAAGGAAAUCCAAAACAAAAUUAAAUUAGAAGCUCACAUUUUGUCUGAAUGCAACUGAGACAAAAGUCAAAGUAAUGUAUAGUUCAAUGUAAAUAAUUGAGAAAUGCCUUUUGGUAAUAGUAGCCAGCAUUGCAAAUCUCAAAUAAGUUGAUUAUUAGAUAAGGUACUUAUUCUUCUCUCACAAGAAGUAUUGAUUUAAUUUUGGUGACAGUGUCAAUUUGAGGGGGCUGAUUGAAUAUGUUGGGAAAUAUUUAUGUGAAAUGGUCUAACAAGACAAGUUCUUUGGACUGCAGUGUUUAUGUGUUUCAGAAUUGACCUGCCUUCUGGCUGCUCCUUUGUGUGCUGCUAUGUGUCACUCUCUUAGAGCUGGGAGUCUGCCCAUAACCAGUCCUGACUGUAUUGGACUCUAGAGCAGCUCUCGUCUGCCUGUUAAUUCACACAAAGCCACAUAUUGCCUUGAUCAAGUUUAUUUUCUACAUUAUGGAACCAUCUCAUAAACACAUCACCAAACAAAGGAUAAAUCCGAAAUGGCUUGCUAACACUGGGUUCUUUGAGAGAGGCAUAGGGGAGAUAUUCUCUUUUGGAAAUAAUUGUAUUUUUCUGAAGUCUUAAGAGGUUAGAUGACAAAAUACUUAAAACAAUUCAUGGCUCUCCAGGGUGCAACUUUUCAAUCAGCACAUGUUGGUGUAAAACCAAUGAGCUGUGCAACUUCUGGGCUCGACCUAAGGGCCGCAGUGCCGGGGGGGAUUAUCUUGACCAUGUUGGUGGCAGAACUCCACCGCGAACCAUUGCCAGUGUGAGCUGGAUCAAGUGCUUGGGUCUGCCUGGCGUGCACUUCCUGAGCCGCCUGACAAUAUUCAUCUGCUCAUGGUCAUCUUUCUGUUUUUGGUGGUUGAAAAGGACCAUGUAGCUUGUCAGAAAAUCAAUAGACAGCUUAGCUUCUGUUACUUUGGAAGUGACACACACACCCCCCACACACUCAUGUAUACUCAUGCACACAGCGCCUACAGACUCACGUGCAUGAGCACACACUCUUUUCUGACAUCUCUAAGCUAAGGAGGCCUUUCUUUUUCUUUGUAAGUCAAAAACAUUUGUUGCCAUUAGCCUUUUAAGUUUCAUGUGUUGAUGGGGUGCAGCUUUUAUCGACUCGUUUCAGCAGCCCAGUGGUUCUGAUCAGCUCUGUGCAGUUCUCGCGGAAGCAGAAGUUGCAGCUGAAAUCCAUCAGGCAAGAUCCAUCUUCCACGGAGACUGACCCCUACAGUUGCCUUGUCCUGACCCUGUGGCAAGGAAGUUUGAGAGUGAGCUCUUCUACCUCGCAAGUGUCUCAUUGUGGAAGGAGCGGUGACAUGCAUUAUCAAAUGCUUCCUCGUGUCACAGUAACAUGCCCUUUUCUGUUCUGGAAAGAGGCACAGGCAGUUUGGAACCGAGUUGUUUCAGAGCUGCCAUCUGUUCAGAGGUCGUGCCAUGGCACUGGAUGGAAGAUGAGUGGCGGGUGAAGUGUGGGCCCCACAGGAGCAGCAGUACCUACUCUGGAGUCCAUGCCUCAGGGUGCUGCCCCUCUGGACACCAUUUCUGUGCUUUCUGGAUCGUGAUCUAUUAUCUAGACCCUGGAGGCAUCUAACCCUCACAGGUGAGCCAGGCUUGAAGAAAGCACACAUGUCCCUGCGUGGUUGCAAGGUCCCCAGACCAGAGUCCCCAAAGCCCUGGUGGACCUUGGUUAGACUUUGGACCCCUCAGAGUCAGUGGGCAUUGAUCCUCAGCCAGACCCGAGUUUCCCACUCCUUUGGGGCGUGUUGCACCAUUUGAAGGUGUUGAGUUGACUGCGCAGAUUGACAUGUGAUGAAUGUGUGUGUUGGCUGGUGUGUUUGUGGACUUAUAUAUACCCGAUGUGUGGCUGAACAUGCGUUGACAAUGUUGCAAAGAGGGAAAUUCGGAAGCAACAGCUAUUGAUCUUUCCGAGUGUUUGCAUAGCUGAGGGUGGAGGCGGAAGUGGCUAUUGCAGGGCUGCCAGCCAGCUCUGCUGUCCCCGGUUCACACUCCCCGACAGCCUGUGAAGCAGCGCUUAUGGUCGGGAUCACGCGUCCCUGUGCUCGGGCGCAGACUGGAGGAAUCGCAGAGGCCUCAGCGAGCCGCUGGAGUCCUCCUGGCAGUCUCUGAGGCGUGGGCUGCUGCCAGAUCACCGCCUUCCAGACGAAUGUGUGAGUGAGUGCUCCGACUCAACCCGAAAGAGCUUUUUUAAAAAUCAAAGGCAAAUCUUUAGAAAGUAAGGGAAAAAUGCUUUUGUGAAUUAUUUUUUUCAGCUUCUGGAAGUGACCCAAAAUUCUCAGUUGUAUGGAACAUGCUCGGGUUUCCUCCUCUGCAUACUGCACCUUCCUGAGGGCCUGGGUCUGUUUGGGCCAUGCUGCUGCCAGUGACAGAGAAGUGGCAGGUUCCGGAUGUGUCUACCCUGGGUGCCUGGUUGCGGAUGGUGUGGAGAAGGCCAUCGGGAUGUCAUUGCUUAUUCCUCCUCAAAUCCACUAAGAGCACAAUUACAACCUGAUUAAUAUCCAGAACGGCCUAGUCUAAUAUUUUUUAUAGCUAAAAAUAAACAGCACAAAAAUCUCAGCAUUUUGUGAUCCGUAAAUGAAAAUAAGGCAGAUAAUUUACGACUCUUAAGUGACUAUGUGAAGACACUUUUGGAACCCAACAUGGAGCUCCAUGAGGCUGUUGGAUGGGGCUUCCCAGAAAUCACCACUGUCCAUGGGAAGUUUAUUAAGCACAGGAACCACACUGCAUUUCUCCUCACUGCGGUUAUUUGAUUACUAGGUUUUCACUUUCCUACAUUUUACCCAACAUAAUAUUUUCUCGCAGAGCUACAGCAUGCCGAGAUUCCGAUGGAAUCCCACAGGGAGAGGCACAAUUAAGAAUCUUAUGCAACAAUACAUUCCUUUGUCCUCAUGAUCGGCAAAGGUAUGGACAUCCACAGUGGGGAAAAUAGUGCUGAUGUAGGUUCUCUGAAUUUGGCUUUUUAUUAUUGCAGAGCCAUAUUUGCGGACUUUAGUUAUGCCAUCAUAAGCCGGAGUAGUUUAUACCUCAGCAUUAUGGUAACAUUAAGGCAUUGACUUCUAGGAUAAUGACUAUUGCUUCUGCAGCAAUCUGCUUUUGAGGGCACCCUGGGAAUAUUUCAUACUUAUCAGGUUUUUGACCUCUGAGGCUAUAUCUACAUAAUUCCAAAACAUAUUAUCAUUUCAAAACUUAAAAAAAAGAGAGAAAAAGCAAUUAACGAGUUGCCUAGUAGUGUAUAGAUAAAAAUAUCUAGAUAAUCAACCUAAUCUUUGAUUUGACUUGAUUGAUUAAUUAAUUAAACAUUUAUUGAGCCAGGCCUGCACUAGGUAUUGCCAUGCUGUGUCUGAUAGUCAGGGGCCUGAAAAGUAAUUUGCAAAUGUUGAUCCUGCCUGGAAGGGGUGCUGGAGAAAAGAGCGGGUGCAUCAAACAGCCUUGUCAGUGGGUGUGAGGAGGGCCCUGCUUCACCUCUCCCAGCACCAAAAUGUAUGCUCCUGGGAAGGAGAAGAUUCAGUGCUUGGUCCUGGCAGUGCUGCAGCAGCAGGUCUCUGUGUGUGCCUGUGUGUGGAGCACACUGAAUAUGGAUGUGCUCACAUGCAUAUUUGUAUACAUAUGCACACAUGCAUGCCACAAAGAUCGAGGAAGGCAAAAGUCCCACCCACUCCCACCCCACUUGUUGGUGGAGGUGUUAAGUAGUACACACUCCAUGGAGUUCAGUACAGCCGUAUCUGUCAAAUUAUAAGAUGCAUAUACCCUUUGAUGCAGCCUUUCAACUUCUAGGAAUUUAUCCUAAAGAUAUUCUCACACAUAUGCCAAUGAUGAUAUUCAGAGAUACUUGUUUUUAAUUCAUUUAUUCACUCAUCAAAUAUUUAAUGAGCUUCUGUUGCAUUCCAGAUGCCAUUCAGGGCUCUGGAAAGACAGCAGUGAACAAAACAGACUAAUUCUUACCCUCUGCAAGUUUAUAUUCUAUUUGGGGAGGCAGAUGAUAAACAAAUACACAAGGAAUACAUAAUAAAUUAGGCGAAAUGUAUCCUGGUUCCCUGGGAUAGUCACAUUUAUGUCCUAGUAGAACUAUUAGUGCCCUCUUUUGCUCUCAGAAGUAUCCUAGUCUGCACAAUAAAUUAUAUGGUCACCCUGAGUUGGUGAUAAGUGCUUUGAAAAAAUAAGUAGGAAAAGAGAAGAAGAAUGACUGAAGUGUGUGCUCUUUUAUGGUAGUUUGUGGUAGCAAAAAAUUGGAAAUAACCUGAAUUUUCAUCAGUUGGAGACUGGUGAAUAAAUUAUGUAAUAUUCUUACAAUAGAAUAGUAUGUAGCUGUCAAAAGGAAUAAAACAGAAUUAUGUUUACUGCUAUAGAGCAAUCUCUAAGAUAUCCUGUUAAGUGAAAAUAGCAAGAUACAGAACAGCAUGUAUAGUAUAAUACCACUGCAUGUAUAAAGAAGAAGGGUGUGUAUACAUGGAUGUAUUUGACCAUCAUAGAAAAGCUCUGGAAAGACACCAAAGGCAACCACUGUUACCAGUGGUUGCCUUUGGAGACAGAACUUGGGGCACUGAAGGUUAGGGUUUGAGGGAGACUUGCUCUUCACCAUACACUAGCUUAUACUCUUUGACUUUCAAAAAUUUAUGUGCAUGUAUUACCUAUAAAAAAUAAUAAGGAAGAGAACGAAAAUUUCUCAAGUCUGACUGAGUAUAAAGUGUAGGAAUAUAUUCAAGGGAAGUUCUUACUAAUGCCACACUUGAAUCCCUUUGGGAAUAUUUAAAAUCCAGAUGUCUGGGCUCCACUCACAGAGAUUCUGAUUCACUUGGUUGUGGAUGGAGCCUGGGUAUUAAUAUUUAAAAACUAAAAUCACCCAGGUGAUUCUAAUGUGCAGCUGGUGCUGGGAACCAACACUUCUCAAACGUUAAUGUGCACAUGAAUCAUCCAGGGAUCUUGAUAAAGUACCAAUUCUAAUUCGGUAGAUCUGGGGUGGAGCAUUUCUAACAACGUUCUGCAUUUCUAACAGGUCCCAUGUGAUGCUGAUGCAGCUGGACUGCAGACCAUAUUGGCAGUAGCACAGCCAAUUAGUCUAGAAUAUCUUUGGUUCAGAACAGGUAGUCCCUGUGCCUCUGCUUACACAUCUUUGGAGAUGAGCUGCUCACUACUUUUUGAAUGGCACAGAAAAUUAUCUUUCUUAAAUUGGAAUAUCUAAAUUCUACUGACAUGGGUCCUCGGCUUAAAUCUUGUGUUUGUAUUAUUUGUCAAGGUUUCUGUUCUGAGAGCACAAGGUGAGGCCUAGUGUGAUGGUUCAUUCAUUCAGGGAGCUGGGUUACACCACCAUUCCAUGGGUUGUCUUGAGGAAACCGCUAAACAAUGGAGAGCUCAGAGAAAGCACUGGUGGCAUGGGUAGAUGCCCUUGAGAGGCACCCCUGGAGAGCAUAGGAGACUUUAGACAAAAGAGGAAGUGGAGGAGAAUGGUGUCAGCCAGAUGGCAGAAGAGAAAUUUUCUAUCAUCAUCUCCCACAGUGCACUGAUUUGACAACUACCCAUGGGUGAGAGUAUCUCUGUGGGAGUCUGGGAUUCAGUGGGGAAGUUCCAGCACACAACUGGAUCACAAAAUCUGAGAAUAGAUGCAUUGAAGAGGUAAGAACAAUUUUGCUUUACCUGCAUCUUCCCUCCCCAAAGGGAUCACAGCUCAAUGUCAAGAGAGACUCCCUCAGCCCACAGUUCCUCCCAUGGCGGAAAGGAAGAGCCAUGAGUUAGUGCCCAGUUCCACCAGCUGUGUGGAAUGCUGCCCAAGAGGCUUACCUUUUCCUCAUCUUAUCUAGAGUACUGAGGAGAGGUGCAUAGCUGAGUGGCUGGGAGAAGAUGGGAGCAGGGAAGAGAGGUGGCAACUUAGAGCAAAAGCAUAUGGAGCUCAAAAAGGGGCCACAAUCUUACUAACUGCUUUGCAGACUCCAUUAAGAGGUCUACCCACGAGCUACUCAGGAUGCCUGGAUGCCUAAUCUGCAGAUCCUCCCAGUUGGCCCAUGGGCACCCCAGUGCUCCAUGCAUCUCACCUCUCUCCCUUCAUGGCCAGAUCCCUAUGUUUGUCCCUGGACAGCAAGUGUGAGCUUUUGCAGAUGGCUAAUAAUCAGGUGUAGUCAGCUAGCUCAACUCUGCAGGAUGGGAUGAAGGCACACAGCUUGAACAUUUCAGAGCACUGUCCUAGGGAAAACAAAAGAGAGGUUAUCAGCACCCAGCCUGGAUUUGUAGGAUUGAGAGAAGACACAUAAUCUUAAGAAUUCCUCCCUAAGAGGGAACAAGAGGGAAGGAGUGGGUCUUCCAUAGAAAAGGUCUGAGAGGACCUCAGAAUUUCUAGCCAAGCCGACUGGUGAAGGUGUUUAUCACUGAAAGCCAGUCAGUAAAGACUAGAGGAGGUGACUCUUCUUCAAAUGCAAAGAUAGCAAUGCAACAAUUCAAGGUACAUGGAAACAAAAAGAAAAGGAAGCUUGACACCACCAAAGGAACACAAUAAUUUCCAAGUAACUGACCCCAAAGAGAUAGAGUGCUAUAAAAUUGCCUGACAAAGAAUUAAAAAUAAUUGUUUUAAGGAAGCUCAGCUAGCUAAAAGAAAAUACAAAUAGAUAACUCAAUGAAAUCAGAAAAACAAAACAUGAAUAAAACAAGAAGUUCAACAGAGACCUAGAAAUCAUAAAACAGAACCAAGAAAAAAUUCUAGAGCUAAAUAGAACAAUGAAUGAAAUGGAAAAUGCAGUAGAGAGCUUUAGCAGCAGACUUGAUCAAGCAGAAGAAAUAAUCUGUGAACUUAAAGACAGGUCAUUUGAAAUUAUCCAGUGAGAGGAAUAAAAAAAAAAAAAGAAUAAAAAGGAAUGAAGAAAACUUACAGGAUUUAUGAGACACCAGUGAGAGAAGUAGUAUGCAUAUUAUGGAUAUCUUGAA